AUACGGAGGGGGUUAGCGUUGUUCGGAAUUACUGGGCGUAAAGCGCACGUAGGCGGACUGGAAAGUUGGGGGUGAAAUCCCGGGGCUCAACCCCGGAACUGCCUCCAAAACUUCCAAUCUAGAGAUCGAGAGAGGUGAGUGGAAUUCCAAGUGUAGAGGUGAAAUUCGUAGAUAUUUGGAGGAACACCAGUGGCGAAGGCGGCUCACUGGCUCGAUACUGACGCUGAGGUGCGAAAGCGUGGGGAGCAAACAGGAUUAGAAACCCUAGAGUCC
rnacentral:rRNA from 1 species